AGCGUACACGGUGGAUGCCCUGGCAGUCAGAGGCGAUGAAGGACGUGCUAAUCUGCGAUAAGCGUCGGUAAGGUGAUAUGAACCGUUAUAACCGGCGAUUUCCGAAUGGGGAAACCCAGUGUGAUUCGUCACACUAUCAUUAACUGAAUCCAUAGGUUAAUGAGGCGAACCGGGGGAACUGAAACAUCUAAGUACCCCGAGGAAAAGAAAUCAACCGAGAUUCCCCCAGUAGCGGCGAGCGAACGGGGAGCAGCCCAGAGCCUGAAUCAGUGUGUGUGUUAGUGGAAGCGUCUGGAAAGGCGCGCGAUACAGGGUGACAGCCCCGUACACAAAAAUGCACAUGCUGUGAGCUCGAUGAGUAGGGCGGGACACGUGGUAUCCUGUCUGAAUAUGGGGGGACCAUCCUCCAAGGCUAAAUACUCCUGACUGACCGAUAGUGAACCAGUACCGUGAGGGAAAGGCGAAAAGAACCCCGGCGAGGGGAGUGAAAAAGAACCUGAAACCGUGUACGUACAAGCAGUGGGAGCACAGAGCAAUCUGUGUGACUGCGUACCUUUUGUAUAAUGGGUCAGCGACUUAUAUUCUGUAGCAAGGUUAACCGAAUAGGGGAGCCGAAGGGAAACCGAGUCUUAACUGGGCGUUAAGUUGCAGGGUAUAGACCCGAAACCCGGUGAUCUAGCCAUGGGCAGGUUGAAGGUUGGGUAACACUAACUGGAGGACCGAACCGACUAAUGUUGAAAAAUUAGCGGAUGACUUGUGGCUGGGGGUGAAAGGCCAAUCAAACCGGGAGAUAGCUGGUUCUCCCCGAAAGCUAUUUAGGUAGCGCCUCGUGAAUUCAUCUCCGGGGGUAGAGCACUGUUUCGGCAAGGGGGUCAUCCCGACUUACCAACCCGAUGCAAACUGCGAAUACCGGAGAAUGUUAUCACGGGAGACACACGGCGGGUGCUAACGUCCGUCGUGAAGAGGGAAACAACCCAGACCGCCAGCUAAGGUCCCAAAGUCAUGGUUAAGUGGGAAACGAUGUGGGAAGGCCCAGACAGCCAGGAUGUUGGCUUAGAAGCAGCCAUCAUUUAAAGAAAGCGUAAUAGCUCACUGGUCGAGUCGGCCUGCGCGGAAGAUGUAACGGGGCUAAACCAUGCACCGAAGCUGCGGCAGCGACACUGUGUGUUGUUGGGUAGGGGAGCGUUCUGUAAGCCUGCGAAGGUGUGCUGUGAGGCAUGCUGGAGGUAUCAGAAGUGCGAAUGCUGACAUAAGUAACGAUAAAGCGGGUGAAAAGCCCGCUCGCCGGAAGACCAAGGGUUCCUGUCCAACGUUAAUCGGGGCAGGGUGAGUCGACCCCUAAGGCGAGGCCGAAAGGCGUAGUCGAUGGGAAACAGGUUAAUAUUCCUGUACUUGGUGUUACUGCGAAGGGGGGACGGAGAAGGCUAUGUUGGCCGGGCGACGGUUGUCCCGGUUUAAGCGUGUAGGCUGGUUUUCCAGGCAAAUCCGGAAAAUCAAGGCUGAGGCGUGAUGACGAGGCACUACGGUGCUGAAGCAACAAAUGCCCUGCUUCCAGGAAAAGCCUCUAAGCAUCAGGUAACAUCAAAUCGUACCCCAAACCGACACAGGUGGUCAGGUAGAGAAUACCAAGGCGCUUGAGAGAACUCGGGUGAAGGAACUAGGCAAAAUGGUGCCGUAACUUCGGGAGAAGGCACGCUGAUAUGUAGGUGAAGUCCCUCGCGGAUGGAGCUGAAAUCAGUCGAAGAUACCAGCUGGCUGCAACUGUUUAUUAAAAACACAGCACUGUGCAAACACGAAAGUGGACGUAUACGGUGUGACGCCUGCCCGGUGCCGGAAGGUUAAUUGAUGGGGUCAGCGCAAGCGAAGCUCUUGAUCGAAGCCCCGGUAAACGGCGGCCGUAACUAUAACGGUCCUAAGGUAGCGAAAUUCCUUGUCGGGUAAGUUCCGACCUGCACGAAUGGCGUAAUGAUGGCCAGGCUGUCUCCACCCGAGACUCAGUGAAAUUGAACUCGCUGUGAAGAUGCAGUGUACCCGCGGCAAGACGGAAAGACCCCGUGAACCUUUACUAUAGCUUGACACUGAACAUUGAGCCUUGAUGUGUAGGAUAGGUGGGAGGCUUUGAAGUGUGGACGCCAGUCUGCAUGGAGCCGACCUUGAAAUACCACCCUUUAAUGUUUGAUGUUCUAACGUUGACCCGUAAUCCGGGUUGCGGACAGUGUCUGGUGGGUAGUUUGACUGGGGCGGUCUCCUCCUAAAGAGUAACGGAGGAGCACGAAGGUUGGCUAAUCCUGGUCGGACAUCAGGAGGUUAGUGCAAUGGCAUAAGCCAGCUUGACUGCGAGCGUGACGGCGCGAGCAGGUGCGAAAGCAGGUCAUAGUGAUCCGGUGGUUCUGAAUGGAAGGGCCAUCGCUCAACGGAUAAAAGGUACUCCGGGGAUAACAGGCUGAUACCGCCCAAGAGUUCAUAUCGACGGCGGUGUUUGGCACCUCGAUGUCGGCUCAUCACAUCCUGGGGCUGAAGUAGGUCCCAAGGGUAUGGCUGUUCGCCAUUUAAAGUGGUACGCGAGCUGGGUUUAGAACGUCGUGAGACAGUUCGGUCCCUAUCUGCCGUGGGCGCUGGAGAACUGAGGGGGGCUGCUCCUAGUACGAGAGGACCGGAGUGGACGCAUCACUGGUGUUCGGGUUGUCAUGCCAAUGGCACUGCCCGGUAGCUAAAUGCGGAAGAGAUAAGUGCUGAAAGCAUCUAAGCACGAAACUUGCCCCGAGAUGAGUUCUCCCUGACUCCUUGA
rnacentral:rRNA from 1 species